CGGGUGCACUGAUCCGGCCGGGCCUUUCCCUCUGUGGAACCCCAUGGCCUUCACUGGCUGUGCGGGGGAAACAGGACUUUUACUGUGAAAAAAUUAGAGUGCUCCAGGCAGGCCUAUGCUCGAAUACAUUAGCAUGGAAUAAUAGAAUAGGACGCGUGGUUCUAUUUUGUUGGUUUCUAGGACCGCCGUAAUGAUUAAUAGGGACAGUCGGGGGCAUCAGUAUUCAAUUGUCAGAGGUGAAAUUCUUGGAUCUAUUGAAGACUAACUACUGCGAAAGCAUUUGCCAAGGAUGUUUUCAUUGAUAAGGAACGAAAGUUAGGGGAUCGAAGACGAUCAGAUACCGUCGUAGUCUUAACUAUAAACUAUGCCGACUAGGGAUCGGACGAUGUUAUUUCUUGACGCGUUCGGCACCUUUCGAGAAAUCAAAGUGCUUGGGCUCCACGGGGAGUAUGGUCGCAAGGCUGAAACUUAAAGAAAUUGACGGAAGGCACCACCAGGGGUGGAACCUGCGGCUUAAUUUGACUCAACACGGGGAAACUCACCAGUCCAGACACAGUGAGGAUUGACAGAUUGAGAGCUCUUUUCUUGAUUCUGUGGGUGGUGGUGCAUGGCCGUUCUUAGUUGGUGGAGUGAUUUGUCUGCUUAAUUGCGAUAACGAACGAGACCUUAACCUGCUAAAUAGCCCGUACUGCUCUGGCAGUUCGCCGGCUUCUUAGAGGGACUAUCGG
rnacentral:rRNA from 1 species